rnacentral:tRNA from 1 species
GCCGGGAUGGCGGAAUAGGCAGACGCAGCGGACUUAAAAUCCGCCGACUUAGGUCAUGUGGGUUCGAUCCCCUCUCCCGGCACCA